AGGCCUACGGGAGGCAGUAGUGAGGAAUAUUGGUCAAUGGGGGAAACCCUGAUGCAGCAACGCCGCGUGAGUGAAGAAGUCAUUCGUGAUGUAAAGCUCUAUCAGCAGGGAAGAAAAUGACGGUACCUGAGUAAGGAGCCCCGGCUAACUACGUGCCAGCAGCCGCGGUAAUACGUAGGGGGCAAGCGUUAUCCGGAUUUACUGGGUGUAAAGGGAGCGUAGACGGCCAGACAAGUCUGAAGUGAAAAUCCAGCGCUUAGCGUUGGAAGUGCUUUGGAAACUGCCGGGCUAGAGUGCAGGAGGGG
rnacentral:rRNA from 1 species